rfam:Candidatus Nitrosotalea devanaterra genome assembly, chromosome: 1
GCCGCCCUAGCUCAGCGUGGUAGAGCAGCUGGCUGUUAACCAGCGGGUCGCCAGUUCAAGUCUGGCGGGCGGCG